rnacentral:rRNA from 1 species
UAAUACCGAAGCCCCAAGUGGUCGUCGUUCUUAUUGGGCCUAAAACGUCCGUAGCCGGUUUGGUACAUUCGUGGGUAAAUCAGACAGCUUAACUGUCUGAAUUCUGCGAGCACGGCCAAACUUGAGACCGGGAGAGGUGUAGGGUACCUGCGGGGUAGGGGUAAAAUCCUGUCAUCCCGUAGGGACCACCAGUUGCGAAGGCUCUACACUAGAACGGAUCUGACGGUCAGGGACGAAGCCUAGGGGCACGAACCGGAUUAGAUACCCGGGUAGUCCUAGGUGUAAACGCUGUGGACUUUGUGUCGGGGAUUCUUCGAGGAUUCUCGGUGCCGGAGUGAAGAUGUUAAGUCCACUGCCUGGGGAGUACGGUCGCAAGGCUG